rnacentral:rRNA from 1 species
UUUGGAGGUAUUCGUGGCCUUGUCAAAGACUGAUCUUGUCAGAUCUCAGAAGCUAAGCAGGGCCAGGCCUGGUUAGUACUUUGGACGGGAGCCCGCGAGGAAAAAUCAGGUGCCACAGUGG